rnacentral:lncRNA from 1 species
AAGGAGAGAACAUGUCUUGAUACAUUAAUUAGAGAAACUAAAAAGAAAACACAAAGGAAAAGAAUGAAGGAAGUAGGUAAGAAUCCAGUAUGGAUAUCUUCUGUUCUUCUGUUCUUCAUUUGUUUUGCUUUGUGCCCGACACAAACCACUGUUGUCUAUGGUGAGGGAAUGAAUGCGGAUCCAUUAAGUAUGAAACGACUACACUUCGGCAUGUUGCCUAAGGGUGUUCCUAUUCCCCCAUCGGGACCCAGUAGACGUAGCUCAAUUCCUUCACCACCCCCACCACCUCUUGUAAAACCAUCAAAUUUGAAUUUUGGCAUGUUGCCUAAGGGUGUUCCUAUUCCUCCAUCUGGUCCGAGCAGGCGUUCUCCGCCGCCAUUCAGCAAGGGUUUGAGUUUCGGCAUGUUACCUAAGGGCGUCCCUAUUCCUCCAUCUGGGCCUAGCAGGCGUUCUCCACCACCACCAGCACUUACAGGAAAUCCGUUCAACAAGAAUUUGAAUUUCGGCAUGUUACCUAAAGGUGUUCCUAUUCCUCCAUCUGGGCCUAGUGAGCGCACUUCAGAACCUCCAUCACCCCUAUUUAAGAAAAGGCGGCUUGGGACUUUUGGUAUGUUGCAUAAGAGGGAUCCUACUCAACCAUCCACACCAAGUUACUUUCAUCUUCUGCAUAAAGGUCCUGUCCCUCCGUCCGGGCCUAGUAUAAACUGACUGAUCCAAUCCUUCAUUGUAUUGAAACCGCAUACUGCCAAUAUGCAACUGUCCCCUAUUUCUAUCGAAUAAGCAUAUUUACAGGUCAAUAACAUUACCAUGUUUAGAUACUACUAUUAAUGCAUGAUAUCCUUUAAGAUUUUCUUUUA